rnacentral:rRNA from 1 species
GUCGAACGGAUCCUUCGGGAUUAGUGGCAGACGGGUGAGUAACGCGUGGGAAGCUACCUUGUGGUAGGGGACAACAGUUGGAAACGACUGCUAAUACCCUAUGAGCCCUAUGGGGGAAAGAUUUAUCGCCAUGAGAUGUGCCCGCGUUAGAUUAGCUAGUUGGUAAGGUAAUGGCUUACCAAGGCGACGAUCUAUAGCUGGUCUGAGAGGAUGAUCAGCCACACUGGGACUGAGACACGGCCCAGACUCCUACGGGAGGCAGCAGUGGGGAAUAUUGGACAAUGGGGGCAACCCUGAUCCAGCCAUGCCGCGUGUGUGAUGACGGCCUUAGGGUUGUAAAGCACUUUCAGCAGUGAAGAUAAUGACAUUAACUGCAGAAGAAGCCCCGGCUAACUUCGUGCCAGCAGCCGCGGUAAUACGAAGGGGGCUAGCGUUGUUCGGAAUCACUGGGCGUAAAGAGUACGUAGGCGGAUUGAUAAGUUAGGGGUGAAAUCCCAAGGCUCAACCUUGGAACUGCCUUUGAUACUGUCAGUCUUGAGAUCGAGAGAGGUGAGUGGAACUCCGAGUGUAGAGGUGAAAUUC